GGUUAAGCGACUAAGCGUACACGGUGGAUGCCCUGGCAGUCAGAGGCGAUGAAGGACGUGCUAAUCUGCGAUAAGCGUCGGUAAGGUGAUAUGAACCGUUAUAACCGGCGAUUUCCGAAUGGGGAAACCCAGUGUGUUUCGACACACUAUCAUUAACUGAAUCCAUAGGUUAAUGAGGCGAACCGGGGGAACUGAAACAUCUAAGUACCCCGAGGAAAAGAAAUCAACCGAGAUUCCCCCAGUAGCGGCGAGCGAACGGGGAGCAGCCCAGAGCCUGAAUCAGUGUGUGUGUUAGUGGAAGCGUCUGGAAAGGCGCGCGAUACAGGGUGACAGCCCCGUACACAAAAAUGCACAUACUGUGAGCUCGAUGAGUAGGGCGGGACACGUGGUAUCCUGUCUGAAUAUGGGGGGACCAUCCUCCAAGGCUAAAUACUCCUGACUGACCGAUAGUGAACCAGUACCGUGAGGGAAAGGCGAAAAGAACCCCGGCGAGGGGAGUGAAAAAGAACCUGAAACCGUGUACGUACAAGCAGUGGGAGCCUCUUUAUGGGGUGACUGCGUACCUUUUGUAUAAUGGGUCAGCGACUUAUAUUCUGUAGCAAGGUUAACCGAAUAGGGGAGCCGAAGGGAAACCGAGUCUUAACUGGGCGUUAAGUUGCAGGGUAUAGACCCGAAACCCGGUGAUCUAGCCAUGGGCAGGUUGAAGGUUGGGUAACACUAACUGGAGGACCGAACCGACUAAUGUUGAAAAAUUAGCGGAUGACUUGUGGCUGGGGGUGAAAGGCCAAUCAAACCGGGAGAUAGCUGGUUCUCCCCGAAAGCUAUUUAGGUAGCGCCUCGUGAAUUCAUCUCCGGGGGUAGAGCACUGUUUCGGCAAGGGGGUCAUCCCGACUUACCAACCCGAUGCAAACUGCGAAUACCGGAGAAUGUUAUCACGGGAGACACACGGCGGGUGCUAACGUCCGUCGUGAAGAGGGAAACAACCCAGACCGCCAGCUAAGGUCCCAAAGUCAUGGUUAAGUGGGAAACGAUGUGGGAAGGCCCAGACAGCCAGGAUGUUGGCUUAGAAGCAGCCAUCAUUUAAAGAAAGCGUAAUAGCUCACUGGUCGAGUCGGCCUGCGCGGAAGAUGUAACGGGGCUAAACCAUGCACCGAAGCUGCGGCAGCGACACUAUGUGUUGUUGGGUAGGGGAGCGUUCUGUAAGCCUGUGAAGGUGUGCUGUGAGGUAUGCUGGAGGUAUCAGAAGUGCGAAUGCUGACAUAAGUAACGAUAAAGCGGGUGAAAAGCCCGCUCGCCGGAAGACCAAGGGUUCCUGUCCAACGUUAAUCGGGGCAGGGUGAGUCGACCCCUAAGGCGAGGCCGAAAGGCGUAGUCGAUGGGAAACAGGUUAAUAUUCCUGUACUUGGUGUUACUGCGAAGGGGGGACGGAGAAGGCUAUGUUGGCCGGGCGACGGUUGUCCCGGUUUAAGCGUGUAGGCUGGUUUUCCAGGCAAAUCCGGAAAAUCAAGGCUGAGGCGUGAUGACGAGGCACUACGGUGCUGAAGCAACAAAUGCCCUGCUUCCAGGAAAAGCCUCUAAGCAUCAGGUAACAUCAAAUCGUACCCCAAACCGACACAGGUGGUCAGGUAGAGAAUACCAAGGCGCUUGAGAGAACUCGGGUGAAGGAACUAGGCAAAAUGGUGCCGUAACUUCGGGAGAAGGCACGCUGAUAUGUAGGUGAAGUCCCUUGCGGAUGGAGCUGAAAUCAGUCGAAGAUACCAGCUGGCUGCAACUGUUUAUUAAAAACACAGCACUGUGCAAACACGAAAGUGGACGUAUACGGUGUGACGCCUGCCCGGUGCCGGAAGGUUAAUUGAUGGGGUUAGCGGUAACGCGAAGCUCUUGAUCGAAGCCCCGGUAAACGGCGGCCGUAACUAUAACGGUCCUAAGGUAGCGAAAUUCCUUGUCGGGUAAGUUCCGACCUGCACGAAUGGCGUAAUGAUGGCCAGGCUGUCUCCACCCGAGACUCAGUGAAAUUGAACUCGCUGUGAAGAUGCAGUGUACCCGCGGCAAGACGGAAAGACCCCGUGAACCUUUACUAUAGCUUGACACUGAACAUUGAGCCUUGAUGUGUAGGAUAGGUGGGAGGCUUUGAAGUGUGGACGCCAGUCUGCAUGGAGCCGACCUUGAAAUACCACCCUUUAAUGUUUGAUGUUCUAACGUUGGCCCCUGAUCGGGGUUGCGGACAGUGUCUGGUGGGUAGUUUGACUGGGGCGGUCUCCUCCUAAAGAGUAACGGAGGAGCACGAAGGUUGGCUAAUCCUGGUCGGACAUCAGGAGGUUAGUGCAAUGGCAUAAGCCAGCUUGACUGCGAGCGUGACGGCGCGAGCAGGUGCGAAAGCAGGUCAUAGUGAUCCGGUGGUUCUGAAUGGAAGGGCCAUCGCUCAACGGAUAAAAGGUACUCCGGGGAUAACAGGCUGAUACCGCCCAAGAGUUCAUAUCGACGGCGGUGUUUGGCACCUCGAUGUCGGCUCAUCACAUCCUGGGGCUGAAGUAGGUCCCAAGGGUAUGGCUGUUCGCCAUUUAAAGUGGUACGCGAGCUGGGUUUAGAACGUCGUGAGACAGUUCGGUCCCUAUCUGCCGUGGGCGCUGGAGAACUGAGGGGGGCUGCUCCUAGUACGAGAGGACCGGAGUGGACGCAUCACUGGUGUUCGGGUUGUCAUGCCAAUGGCACUGCCCGGUAGCUAAAUGCGGAAGAGAUAAGUGCUGAAAGCAUCUAAGCACGAAACUUGCCCCGAGAUGAGUUCUCCCUGACCCUUUAAGGGUCCUGAAGGAACGUUGAAGACGACGACGUUGAUAGGCCGGGUGUGUAAGCGCAGCGAUGCGUUGAGCUAACCGGUACUAAUGAACCGUGAGGCUUAACCUU
rnacentral:rRNA from 3 species